UGCUGCUACCUUUCCACAAACAGGAAUGCCAGGGAGCCUUCCCAAGAGCCAUCCUGAGGAUGUGGCCCCUCAUUUUAAGGUUGCUACCUGCUGAUCUCCAAGUCAUAAAUGCAGGACUGUAACACUGAUUGUGGAGAACCAUGCAGUGCUCCAGAAAGAAUGGUAGAGUGGAAUACUCGCCAGUUACUAAAGACAACAUUGCACACAUAUGCACAGUCCUGCCUACAAUUCUUCCUUUUUUUCCUUCCCUCUUUCAUGGUCAUGAACAAAGAGGCAAUUAAGAAAACUCUCAAGAUGGAAAAUGCCAAAAGUAUUGUCUCUCCUCCCAGUCUCUUGGGACACAGCUUUCGGGGGUGCUGAGAGCAUUUGAGAAGGGGUUGGCCACAUCGAUAACCUCUGUCCCCAACAAAUGUACAUAAUCAUGCCACAGGUAGAUGUGAAGAAGUAGCUUAAAGCAAUACCACCUCUUCCCCUAAGACCAGGAGCACAGGGCCGGAGUAACCAUCCCUUGCCUUGUUCAACACGUUGCCAGGACUGAAACACGGUUACAGUUAUGAGGCUAAGGUCAUGGUUAUAUUGGGUAUGAGCAGCUGACAGAGGGAGAGGAAAGCAAAGGGGAAUAAAUGUCAAGAAAACAAAGCAAAACAAACCAGAUCAAACAUAACCAACUGGAAACCAGCCCAGAAUGAGAGCAGAGAUUACAGAGUUUUAAAGACACAGGCUGGCUCCAGCUUCCUUUUGGGAUACAGUCAGUAGAAAGAGCAUUGCUCUCUCCCAUAUAAAAAAAACUGGACACUUGACAAAUUCCUAACUUCUUUCAAAAAUUGAGAGAACUGAGGUCAUACAACAACCAACUAACCCAAAAUGGAAGGAAAGACAGGUGUCUGCAAGUAAAGGCAGGACAAAGUGCACUCACUGACUCAGGGAAGACAUCUCUGGAUGUAAGAGAAUUCAUCUAAAACAAUUAACAAAUUAGUAAAGACCUAGUACAGGUUGGCUAGAGAAUAGAGAGUCCCUGGGGCAGCAUAUAACAGGGAUUUGUACCCACUUGUAGGCUUUUCUACUGGAGAGAAAGAUUGGCAAGGGUCAUGAGAAAUCAUCCCUUGAGGCUCAUGCCCAAAAGGAAAGAGCAGCCCCAAGCAUGGAAAGCCCUGCCCAAAACAGAUGCCUUGAGACAGCCAAAGCCUUACAAGCACUGGGGAAGGACAACAAACUGUCCCUUAGACCACAUCAAGACUUCCUCAGACCCUAGGAAUUUCUGCCUUUGUGAGACUCUUCCAAUUGUGUUGGUGUAAAGAUGAUUAUCAUUCAGGCUGAAUACGUUAUUCUAUAUCCAUUACUAUUACAUUCAUUUUCUCUUAUCACUUUAAAUAAUUAAUAUUAAAGCAUUUGUGGGGACUCUAAAAAGUACGAUGGGCUCCAGACACUGUGCUUUACUAGGACUAAUGGGGAAAAGCCCUCCAGGCCUCAGUGAGAGGUAGACCUAUAGCUGAGGACCAGGCAGGAGCACAGGGAGGGAUAUGCUAGAUGCCCAGGGACACAGUACCAACUAAGACUGAGCCUUCCUGAGAACCAUAGAACUCUCCAUCUCUGAACAUGACCAGCCUCCGGAUCUAGCUACUGACAGUGGCACUAGAGCAAAAACAGGGAGAACACCCCCCCACCGCCCCACACUCCCCUCACACCCCACACCCCCACACUCCCCUCACACCCCACACCACCACACUCCCCUCACACCCCACACCCCCAUACCCCCACUCCCCCCCCACCCCCCCCAGGAAAAGGGCAAACCGCAGGAAGGAG
rnacentral:lncRNA from 1 species